rfam:Spiroplasma melliferum KC3 contig3, whole genome shotgun sequence.
AACUUAUUCAGAAGUGGUUAGUACGCUAAACAAUGAUCCACUAGCAACCCUAUAUUUAACUAGAAGGUGCUUUUAGCAGGGCAAAAUGAUAUGCUACCAAUAAGAU